GACGAACGCUGGCGGCGUGCUUAACACAUGCAAGUCGAGCGAGGCCCUUCCUUCGGGAAGGUGCCCUAGCGGCGAACGGGUGAGUAACACGUGGGCAACCUGCCCUCAGCUCUGGGAUAACCCCGGGAAACCGGGGCUAAUACCGGUAUACGACCACAGUGGGCAUCCGCUUGUGGUGGAAAGAUUUAUCGGCUGAGGAUGGGCCCGCGGCCUAUCAGCUAGUUGGUGAGGUAACGGCCCACCAAGGCAACGACGGGUAGCCGGCCUGAGAGGGCGGACCGGCCACACUGGGACGUGAGACACGGCCC
rnacentral:rRNA from 1 species